GGAAUUCGAUUCCGGCUUAACACAUGCAAGUCGAACGCGAAAAUGUCUUCGGACAUUAGUAGAGUGGCACACGGGUGAGUAUCGCGUGGGAACAUACCUUAUAGUAGGGAAUAGCGUCGGGAAACUGGGAUUAAUACCGUAUAUUCCCUAAGGGGGAAAGAUUUAUCGCUAUAAGAUUGGCCUGCGUCAGAUUAGGUAGUUGGUGGGGUAACGGCCUACCAAGGCAGAGAUAUGUAGCUGGUUUGAGAGGACGAUCAGCCACAUUGGGGCUGAGACACGGCCCAAACUCCUACGGGAGGCAGCAGUGGGGAAUAUUGGAAAGUGGACGAAAGUCUGAUCCAGCAAUGCCGCGUGAGUAAUGGAGGCCUUAGGGUUGUAAAGCUCUUUUAGUGGGGAAGAUAAUGACG
rnacentral:rRNA from 1 species